GAAUAUGUGACUGGGCCAUGUCAUGUGUCUCCCCACUGAUCACCAGGUUCGAUUGUGUUGCUCUGACUUGCUGGGCAGGUGUCCCCUUCCUCCCUGACACUUUCCAUUGUCAUCCUUUCUGAGGGUGUGUGUUUAACUGAAGAGGAGGAUCUGCCCUGAUGGAGGAGAACAAUGUGCUCCUUAGCUCGGACUUCUACCUAAGCUCGCAGAGUCUGAAUGAGCAGGACCUUGUAUGAAACAGGCACUGAAGAAUCUAACAAGGCGGAUGUUCUGCCUAUCACUUA
rnacentral:sRNA from 14 species